rnacentral:rRNA from 1 species
UGGGGGGGAACUUCAACUUAGGGUUAAUUACGACCACAGGACGGGUUGCCCGAAGCCAUAACUUGGUACCGGUCCUUUUCCAUUAGGUUCACCAAGUCUCUAGUAGUCAUUCUACAUUUCAGGUAUGAAUGAUCUAGAGUAAGUUCUUAAGAGAUGAUACGCUACGUGCGAGGCUAUGUAGCUCUAUUAACGCUAAUCAAUGGCUGUAGAAUUGAUACCUCUAUAAACUUGGUUAGUUGGGCUAAGAGUAAUAGAGCUGCAUAUGCAGUGACUAAGGGAUACAACGCAUUAACUAGAGUACUUUCGAUUGUUUCUAGUUUUCUAUGUGUAGAUUAUUUCUAACCAUUUAUUAUAUGAUAUUCAAAUGUAGUUUUGUAUGAUUAGUCAAUGCACUCGUGGUAUUGAUUAAUUGUAGGAAAGUAUAUUUAAUGUUGUUAGUUAUGGUAUAAUAAUCUAGUAUCACCAGUUCUCGUGCGAGAUGGUAGCUUCAGUCCCGUCUUGAAACACGGACCAAGGAGACCUACUGCUACGCAAGUCGAAGGGUGAAAAACCCAGAGGCGAAGCGAAAGCGAAAGGUGCCAACUGUUCAUUAUCGGAAUAGUGCAGCACCGGCCUUCAUUUUUAUCCAUCUCGUAUGAUAAAAUGAUGAGCUAGAGCGUAGCGGCAAGGACCCGAAAGAUGGUGAGCUAUGCCUGAGCAGGAUGAAGCCAGGAGAAAUCCUGGUGGAGGUCCGUAGCGAUUCUGACGUGCAAAUCGAACGUUAGACUCAGGUAUAGGGGCGAUAGACCAAUCGAACCAUCGAGUAGCUGGNNNUCCGUAGCGAUUCUGACGUGCAAAUCGAACGUUAGACUCAGGUAUAGGGGCGAUAGACCAAUCGAACCAUCUAGUAGCUGGUUCCCUCCGAAAUAUCCCUCAGGAUCGCGGACAUCAUAUCGAUUGAUCAGUUUCAUUACGUAGGGAGAAUGAUUGGAGGUUUCGGGAACGCAAUGUUCUCGGCCUACUCUCAAACUUCGAAGUGGUGACACGAAUAUGUUUCGGGCGUAAAAUCAUUUAACUCUACAAAUCGUUAGUGAGUUUAGUGAGCAUAUUCGGGAAUGAUCGAUGUCCAGUGGGCCAUUUUUGGUAAGCAGAACUGGCGAUCCGGGAUGAACCGAAAGUCGAGUUAAGGUGCCCAACUGAGAUUUAAUUGAUACCAUUAAAGGUGUCGGUCAAUGUAGACAGCAGGGCGGUGGCCAUGGAAGUCGGCAUCCGCUAAGGAGUGUGUAUUAACUCACCUGCCCAAUUGACCGGUCCUGAAAAUGGAUGGCGCUUAAUAUUUCGACCGAUACUCGGCCGUUUGAGGUGACUACUUAAACGGGUAGGGGGGCACAACGGUAGCUGAGAAGGAUCAACGUGAGUUGGUCUGGAGCUGCCGUUGGAGCUGAUCUUGGUGGUAGUAGCAACUAUUCGGGUGGGAACCUCGAAGUCCGAGGUGGAGACGGGUUCCAUGUCAAUUGUAGUAAGACAUGGGUUAGUCGGUCCUAAGUGACUCCCGAAGGGGUUUAAAGACAGGCAUCGAGUUUAAACUGUCGGUCACGAAAGGGAACCAGGUUAAUAUUCCUGGACCAGAUAUCGGAAUUUUGGCUAGUUGUCCAAUAUCUAGAACAUUUAAUGAGUUAAUCUUCAUUAAAUGUUUUUGGUGUAGGUUUGUAGAUUGGGAAACUGAUCUACUUUUAAAACAAUAUGUCAAUAAGCGGUAACGCGACCGAACUGAGCGAUGUCGGACGUAGCCAGAGGAAGAGUUUUCUUUUCUUCAUAACGAACUAAUGACCAUGGAAUCGGGUUAAGGGAGAAU